GGUGAACUGAAGUGACUCCAAUCAGAAUCUGCGAAGAUAAGGGGCAGCAGCACUUGUGCUAAGUGGCAUUUAUUGGCUAAUGUUACCCAACAUUCUAAGAGAAAGGUUCUGAAAUCAUCUCACCAAGGCUGUUGGGUUGAUCUGUCAUUGCUGCUGGAGAGCUGUGGGAACCUUCUGUUUCCUGAUGUUUUGUAGUGCACUGUUUUUGCCCUUUCUUGAAGAGCAACAAGAGAAGCUGGUCCAACAUGAUACCCAGAAGUAACUAGGGGAGAUAGUCCUGGAGCCAGUUGGGAAAUGAGAAAAAGAAGACCAAUCCCAACUGAAGAGAAAGGGAGCUUUCCUCUAGGUGAUCCACAAAGCAUGAUUAAAUGUUGAGUUGACUGUAAAUUAAUUGUGUUCUGUAAAUGACCAAUCCUGUUGUAGUGUUUUCAAAAAUUAAAUUAAUCUCCCAGAUCAAUGAAGCUUUUGUUACUUUGAGGCU
rnacentral:lncRNA from 1 species